AGCGAACGCUGGCGGCGUGCUUAACACAUGCAAGUCGAACGUGAAAUGUAGCAAUACAGAGUAAAGUGGCGUACGGGUGAGUAACACGUGGGUAAUCUACCAAAGAGCCUGGAAUAACCGACCGAAAGGUUGGCUAAUACUGGAUAGUCCAAAUGAAAUAUAAUGUUUCGAUUGGGAAAGGGAGCGAGCAAUCGCCUUCACUUUUUGAUGAGCCCGCGUCUGAUUAGCUAGUUGGUAGGGUAAUGGCCUACCAAGGCGACGAUCAGUAGCUGGUCUGAGAGGAUGAUCAGCCACACUGGAACUGAAACACGGUCCAGACUCCUACGGGAGGCAGCAGUGGGGAAUCUUGCGCAAUGGACGAAAGUCUGACGCAGCCACGCCGCGUGAGUGAAGAAGGCCUUCGGGUUGUAAAGCUCUGUCGGAAGGGACAAAAACGUUUAAGGUUAAUAGCCUUAGAUCUUGAUGGUACCUUCAAAGGAAGCACCGGCUAACUUCGUGCCAGCAGCCGCUGUAA
rnacentral:rRNA from 1 species